rnacentral:tRNA from 1 species
UGCCUCGUCGCCAAGUGGUAAGGCAUCAGACUUUGACUCUGACAUGCGCAAGUUCGAAUCUUGCCGAGGCAA